GACGAACGCUGGCGGCGUGCUUAACACAUGCAAGUCGAACGGAAAGGCCCUGCUUUUGUGGGGUGCUCGAGUGGCGAACGGGUGAGUAACACGUGAGUAACCUGCCCUUGACUUUGUGAUAACUUCAGGAAACUGGGGCUAAUACCGGAUAGGAGCUCCUGCUGCAUGGGGGGGGUUGGAGAGUUUCGGCGGUUGGGGAUGGACUCGCGGCUUAUCAGCUUGUUGGUGGGGUAGUGGCUUACCAAGGCUUUGACGGGUAGCCGGCCUGAGAGGGUGACCGGCCACCUUGGGACUGAGAUACGGCCCAGACUCCUACGGGAGGCAGCAGUGGGGAAUAUUGCGCAAUGGGCGGAAGCCUGAUGCAGCAACGCCGCGUGCGGGAUGACGGCCUUCGGGUUGUAAACCGCUUUCGCAUGUGACGAAGCGUGAGUGACGGUAAUGGGUAAAGAAGCACCGGCUAACUACGUG
rnacentral:rRNA from 1 species